rnacentral:rRNA from 1 species
UACGUAGGCAGCGAGCGUUGUUCGGAGUUACUGGGCGUAAAGGGUGUGUAGGCGGUUGUUUUAGUUUGGUGUGAAAUCUCCCGGCUCAACUGGGAGGGUGCGCCGAAUACUGAAUGACUUCGAGUGCGGGAGAGGAAAGUGGAAUUCCUGGUGUAGCGGUGAAAUGCGUAGAUAUCAGGAGGAACACCGGUGGUGUAGACGGCUUUCUGGACCGUAACUGACGCUGAGACACGAAAGCGUGGGUAGCAAACAGG